AUCAUGCGCUCUUUGAGUCUUGUAUUGGAAUGAGUACAAUUUAAAUACCUUAACGAGGAACAAUUGGAGGGCAAGUCUGGUGCCAGCAGCCGCGGUAAUUCCAGCUCCAAUAGCGUAUAUUAAAGUUGUUGCAGUUAAAAAGCUCGUAGUUGAAUUUCGAGUCCAGGUCAUGGGUCUCUCUAACGGGUUGUACUCUUGACUUGGAUUCCCACUUUUGGGGAUCCGGGCUGCUCUUUACUGGGUGGUCCGGAGAUCCAAGACUUUUACUUUGAAAAAAUUAGAGUGUUCAAAGCAGGCUUACGCUUGAAUACAUUAGCAUGGAAUAAUGGAAUAGGACCUUGGUUCUGUUUUGUUGGUUUAUAGAACCAAAGUAAUGAUUAAUAGGGACAGUUGGGGGCAUUAGUAUUUCAGGGCUAGAGGUGAAA
rnacentral:rRNA from 1 species